rnacentral:rRNA from 1 species
GUCGUAACAAGGUUUCCGUAGGUGAACCUGCGGAAGGA